rnacentral:rRNA from 1 species
GUCUACAGCCAUUCUACCCUGAACACGCCGGAUCUCAUCUGAUCUCAGAAGCUAAGCAAGGUCUGGCCUGGUUAGUACAUGGAUAGGAGAAAACCUAGACACUGUGGUUG